rnacentral:rRNA from 1 species
CAAGUCGAGCGCCCCUUCGGGGGAGCGGCAAACGGGUGAGUAACACGUUGGAAUCUGCCUCGCACUCAGGGAUAGCCCACUGAAAAGUGGAUUAAUACCGGAUGGUCUCGUAAGAGUAAAGCUUUUGCGGUGCGAGAGGAGCCUGCGUAGUAUCAGCUUGUUGGUAAGGUAACGGCUUACCAAGGCUAUGACGCUUAGCUGGUCUGAGAGGAUGAUCAGCCACAAUGGGACUGAGACACGGCCCAUACUCC